rnacentral:lncRNA from 10 species
CUGGUUUGGAGUGAGUGAGGCAGUUAUUUACCUGCCUGUAGAGGACAGGUGGAAAAGGGGGAGGACAUUUAGCUCUUCAAAGAAAAAUAGCAGGUGUCCACAUAGGGACCUACGAGCUUUCCCAAACUGGGGACACCAGUGCUGGCCAUGGGAAAGGGACCUUUGUUGGGGUGGAGGCACAGGGGAACGCCUGAGGAGUGAAGCUGUGAUGGGGCUCGGGGCUGCCUAUCCGGAGGUGUGCAUUUCCCUGCCUGUGCUCCCAAGAAGGAGCCCCAAAUGUUUCUCUGGUCUCUCUAAAGUGCUCAGCAGGGAGCAGCAAAAUUACCAAGUUUAGCAUAAACUCCCCUCCCCACCUUGUCCCAGGACAAAGUAAAGAGCUGGUGAAACUGCUCACAAACAUUGCCAGGUGUGCACAGAAGCAGGCACACAACAAUGAGAGUCUCCGGACCUGGGGCAGGGAGUCCCAUCCUGCCAAAUGCAGAGUCCUAUCUUUGUUGACAACUUAAUCUCUCAGAAAGUAGGGGAACAAGAACAACUGCUUCCACAGACUUAAUUGUGGUCAACAAAGAACUGGCUGUUGAAAUGGCAAAGAAAGGAAAUUGAGAAAACAUAACCAUACACUCAGAAUGUGUUUGUGGACUAGGUAUGUGUCCAGAGCUGCCGCUCGCCCCUUCUAUUUUGGACACCUGAGACCUUGCACAUUAGGUAUGGGCAGGGCCACCUGGAAAAGUCAGAUUUAAUGCCUCCAGAAGCUGCCCACAGUCAUCUAGGGAUCGAAGUUUGGUGAAUCAGUACCCCAGCCCCCCAGCUUCCUUUUCCUUUGUCAGACAACUCUGCAGUGUGCUCUACAGGAUCUCCCAGGGGUCCCCAGCAGGUUAAGCUUUCAUUGCCUACAGCAGUAACUUGCAUGAUAACACACACACAGCAAGCAGUAACUUGCACACACACAGCGGUAACUUGCGUGAUACACACACAGCAGUAACUUGCACACACGCAGCAGUAACUUGCAUGAUAACACACACAGCAGUAAUUUGCAUGAUACACACACAGCAGUAACUUGCAUGACAUACACACACAGCAGUAACUUGCAUGACAUACACACACAGCAGUAACUUGCAUGAUACACACACAGCAGUAACUCACAUGAUACACACCCAGCAGUAACUUGCAUGACACACACAGCAGUAACUCACAUGAUAACACACACGGCAGUAACUUGCAUGACACACACAGCAGUAACUUGCAUGACACACACACAGCAGUAACUCGCAUGAUAACACAUGCUGUAUGCACUUCAUUUCCUUCUUGUCUCUCGUCUCCACUCCUUCAACCAUUUCCUUUCUUAAAAAACUAUUUGCACUUACAUCCUUCUCUCAGGUUUUAUGUCUGGUGGGACUCAAACUAAGACAAUGCAAUAGCUACAAAAGUAAAUUCUAGGAACCUGGAGACAUAGUAGUACAGUGAAUAAUUGGAUAGGCUUUAUAGUCAAACCAUCUAUGCUUGCAUACACCACUAGUGUGUAAAUAUUUAAUAUUCAAACAAUUGUUGUAUAUAAACUUUAGGAAGUAGAUUUCAAGAAAGGCAGAACUGGAAACUCUAGAAAAAGGAAGAUGACUCAAGAAGGAGA